CCUACGGGAGGCAGCAGUGAGGAAUAUUGGUCAAUGGUCGGGAGACUGAACCAGCCAAGCCGCGUGAGGGAGGAAGGUACAGAGUAUCGUAAACCUCUUUUGUCAGGGAACAAAGGCGGGGACGUGUCCCCGGCUGAGUGUACCUGAAGAAAAAGCAUCGGCUAACUCCGUGCCAGCAGCCGCGGUAAUACGGAGGAUGCGAGCGUUAUCCGGAUUUAUUGGGUUUAAAGGGUGCGCGGGCGGUCUGUUAAGUCAGCGGUCAAAGCCCGGGGCUCAACCCCGGCCCGCCGUUGAAACUGGCAGUCUCGAGUUGGAGAGAAGUAUGCGGAAUGCGCGGUGUAGCGGUGAAAUGCAUAGAUAUCGCGCAGAACUCCGAUUGCGAAGGCAGCAUGCCGGCUCCACACUGACGCUGAGGCACGAAAGCGUGGGUAUCGAACAGGAUUAGAUACCCUUGUAGUC
rnacentral:rRNA from 1 species